CUGAAUUGUUGCCGAGGCAGGCAUAGGCCUGGGGAUUACCUGAAAUAGCAGGCAGUUGCACUGAGUGCAUCACUGACACCCCGAAAUACCUCAACUGCACCCGCUCUGGCGCACAGGCAACUUUCA
ncrna:Pantoea sp. GM01 EFASI RNA